GACGAAGGAUGCAAGCGUUAUCCGGAUUCAUUGGGUUUAAAGGGAGCGUAGGUGGCCUUAUAAGUCAGUGGUGAAAUCUCGAGGCUUACCUCGAAAUUGCCAUUGAUACUGUAGGGCUUGAGUAUAGUUGCCGGUUGGCGGAAUAUGACAUGUAGUGGUGAAAUACAUAGAGAUGUCAUAGAACACCGAUUGCGAAGGCAGCUAACGAAACUAUAACUGACACUGAGGCUCGAAAGUGCGGGGAUCAAACAGG
rnacentral:rRNA from 1 species